rnacentral:rRNA from 1 species
UGGGGAAUUUUGGACAAUGGACGCAAGUCUGAACCAGCCAUGCCGCGUGAAGGAUGAAGGCGUUCUGCGUUGUAAACUUCUUUUAUCAGGGAAGAAACCUAUUUUUUCUAAGAUAGUUGACGGUACCUGAGGAAUAAGCACCGGCUAACUCCGUGCCAGCAGCCGCGGUAAUACGGAGGGUGCAAGCGUUAUCCGGAUUUACUGGGUUUAAAGGGUGUGUAGGCGGGCAUUUAAGUCUGGGGUGAAAUCUCCGAGCUCAACUCGGAAACUGCCUUGGAUACUAUUGCCUUGAAUUAUGUUGAGGUUGGCGGAAUAUAACAUGUAGCGGUGAAAUGCAUAGAUAUGUUAUAGAACACCGAUUGCGAAGGCAGCUGACUAAGCAUAUAUUGACGCUGAGGCACGAAAGCGUGGGUAGCGAACA